UGCUCUGACACAUGACAACAGCCU
rnacentral:miRNA from 1 species